GACGAACGCUGGCGGCGUGCUUAACACAUGCAAGUCGAACGGAAAGGCCCUGCUUGCGGGGUACUCGAGUGGCGAACGGGUGAGUAACACGUGGGUGAUCUGCCCUGCACUUCGGGAUAAGCUUGGGAAACUGUGUCUAAUACCGGAGAUGAACCAUCUUGCGUGUAGUGGGUGGAAAGUUUUUUCGGUGUGGGAUGGGCGCGCGGCCUAUCAGCUUGUUGGUGGGGUAAUGGCCUACCAAGGCGGGGACGGGUAGCCGGCCUGGGAGGGUGGACGGCCACAAUGGGACUGAGAUACGGCCCAGACUCCCACGGGAGGGCGCAGUGGGGGAAAUUGCACAAUGGGGGCAAGCCUGAUUCAAGCACGGCGGGUGGGGGGUGAAGGCCUUCGGGUUGUAAACUCCUUUCGCUAGGGAAGAAGCUUUUUGUGACGGUACCUAGAUAAGAAGCACCGGCUAACUACGUG
rnacentral:rRNA from 1 species